rnacentral:rRNA from 1 species
AAAACUUUCAACAACGGAUCUCUUGGUUCUGNCAUCGAUGAAGAACGCAGCGAAAUGCGAUAAGUAAUGUGAAUUGCAGAAUUCAGUGAAUCAUCGAAUCUUUGAACGCACAUUGCGCCCCUCGGUAUUCCGGGGGGCAUGCCUGUUCGAGCGUCAUU